rnacentral:rRNA from 1 species
AUUGAACGCUGGCGGCAUGCCUAACACAUGCAAGUCGAACGGGGCAGCAAUGCCUAGUGGCGGACGGGUGAGGAAUACGUAGGAAUCUGCCCUUAAGUGGGGGAUAACCAGGGGAAACCCUGACUAAUACCGCAUGAUCUCUUCGGAGCAAAGAGGGGGACCGCAAGGCCUCUCGCUUCUGGAUGAGCCUACGUCUGAUUAGCUAGUUGGUAGGGUAAAGGCCUACCAAGGCGACGAUCAGCAACUGGUCUGAGAGGAUGAUCAGUCACACCGGAACUGAGACACGGUCCGGACGCCUACGGGAGGCAGCAGUGGGGAAUAUUGGACAAUGGGCGCAAGCCUGAUCCAGCAAUGCCGCGUGUGUGAAGAAGGCCUUCGGGUUGUAAAGCACUUUAGCCUGGAAAGAAAAAACUUUGGUUAACACCCAAAGUCUUGACGGUACCAGGAGAAUAAGCACCGGCUAACUCUGUGCCAGCAGCCGCAGUAAGAC